UGGGGAAUAUUGGACAAUGGGGGAAACCCUGAUCCAGCCAUGCCGCGUGCGUGAAGAAGGCCUUAGGGUUGUAAAGCGCUUUCGGCGGGGAAGAUGAUGACGGUACCCGCAGAAGAAGCCCCGGCUAACUCCGUGCCAGCAGCCGCGGUAAUACGGAGGGGGCUAGCGUUGUUCGGAAUUACUGGGCGUAAAGGGCGCGUAGGCGGGCGAUCAAGUCAGAGGUGAAAGGCCUGGGCUCAACCUGGGAAUUGCCUUUGAAACUGAUUGUCUAGAGUCCGGAAGAGGAUGGCGGAAUUCCCAGUGUAGAGGUGAAAUUCGUAGAUAUUGGGAAGAACACCAGUGGCGAAGGCAAUCCCCUGGGCCUGCACUGACGCUCAUGCACGAAAGCGUGGGGAGCAAACAGGAUUAGAUACCCAAGUAGUCCCUGAGCGGGCUGGCAAGGCGCAU
rnacentral:rRNA from 1 species